GAAACUUUUAUUAGUAAAAUAUGCAUACACAUAAAUGCCCCUAAUAAUUUGGCAUAGCAUACUAAGGAAAGGAUUGAGUAUACCAAAUGGUAUUCACAUUCUUAGACAUUGCAUCCACAACUAUUUUUAAUAUUUACUUUGAAUUAAUAUAAAAAAGAUUGCAAAAGAAAUAAAAUAAUAGCCCUUUCUUGUGCAAAUAAUAACACUUUUAAGGGCUUUUUUUGUAAUAUUUUAUUGGUGGGUUUUGUCAAUCACUCCUUGAAGGGCACCAAGGAGUCAUGUCCAUAGGAUAGCUCCCCAACACCCUUAAGAAAGAAGUGAACUCCUGCACCUCUGCCAAUGCAUUCUGUGCCCUAACUUCUGCCAUCGACGCUUCAAAAUCCAAGUAAAACAUGUACUCAAAGUGCUUUGCCGUCCCGGCACUUGCAUCGUCCACUAGCCUGAUCGGGCAAUCUCGGUGUGGCCGUGACUCGAUCUUCGUCAAGUUGAUGUUACGGAAUGCGAACGCUGAUAGCACCUUGAAAAGCACGCUCGUCCCCUUAUCGUGUGCGAACACGAUGCUUGUCUUGAAUGGACGGUCCGUGCGAGGGAUUAUUGGCUCACGAGCCAACAUCAAGAAUCGCGUAACGUUGCUUUUAUCGUCCUGGAUACCAUCGGCUAGUAUUUGCAGUCCGUACAGCUCUGCCGCGCGUGCACUGGCUAUGGCUGCCGUGUUGCGGAGAUUGUUAGAGGCUAUGUACUCUGCAGCGCCAGCCGUGUCAUCUACUGCCUCCCGGACAGCAUGCAGCCCGAGUUCAGUGAGCGUUAGCUCACAUUGUGCAAGUGCUUGAGGGUGAGAGAUCACUCGAGUAAUAUACUCCUUACGGACACCGGGUAGGGCUAAGAGACAAUGGUGGACUGGUAAUUGUACUUCACCAACAAUGUGGAGGCGAUGGCGGAGAAGCAAAUCGUAAUUUCUAUGAAUAGAUCCCCCGAGAGAAUUCUCAAUUGGUAAAACCGCACGAUCUGCAAUCCAAAGCUCCACUGCCUGGAAAGCCACCUCAAAUUGAUCACAGGGGAUAGCUUCACAAUUUGGAUAAGCUUUCUCCGCUGCAGCCUCCGAAUAUGCCCCGGGAACUCCUUGAUAAGCCACACGGAGAUGAGAGCCGUGCAUAGGAGCUGGUGAGAGAUCCGUAAUAGUCAACGGCUUCAUCAGCUUAUUGUUAUUGGAGUUGCCAUCAUCACUAGAGCCUUUGUUGAGAGGGACUAAAUCAAGAUCCAUAGAGGUCUUAUGACCAUUGAUGGCUGCGACAUGGUCAGUACUGCCAUCGUUGACAUAAUCUUCACCAGAUUUAUCAGUAGGCUGCUCUUGAGCAGCAACUUUGCUAGCUAAUAUAGCGCAAGAGCUCUGCCAGUCGGCUCGACUGGAGCCAACACCAUUGGGAAAAUAGACAGAAUCCGAUCGAUAGAUACAAUGAACAAAGAGUUUGUUGGGAGCUAAUCGGGUGAUGCGACGCCGAAUCGGUAUAAAAGACACGAGGGGAGACGAAGGGGAGAUCGCCUGCAUCGUUAAAUUGGUAUGUUUUUGUUACGCUGAAUCCAAUAACAAAAAGAAUAGAGGUUUUCUGAAAGCUUGGUGUUCUCUGCAGAAGGGAACGUCAAGCU
rnacentral:misc_RNA from 1 species